rnacentral:pre_miRNA from 1 species
AAUAAGAGAAUGACAAAUCAAAUUUUUUCUCUUGAUAUUCAGCUUUUUCUUCCUGAAAAAAAAAAUUCAAAUCCAACUAAAAAUGCUGAAUAUCAGGAGAAAAAAAAUCUAAGUUGUCAUUCUCCUGUU